rnacentral:lncRNA from 1 species
GCAAUUUGUGCAUGUAAUCUUCAGCAUCCAGCACUUAAUCUUCCACCCAGAAGCCGAAAUUUUCGUGUGUGGAGAUGAAUUUCAGCAGCCUCAGCCUUAUUAAUUCAACCGUCUUAUUUGCUUCGGUUUCCGUGCGUAUAUAAAUAAAAUCUAGCAGCCGCUAAUUAACUCCAAAAAAAAGGGACUCCCUUGUUUGCUGCGAGUGUAUAUAAUAAUCUUCUUGGCUUCCCUCAAAUUCUAUUCUCUUUUCUCUCCGUUUUCUGUGAUGAAUCAAUUGGAGCCGUAAUAAUUUACUCCCUGAAGCUGCAGUCCAAUUUUCUCCCAGCAGGAUGUCCCUCUCAAUUGAUUCUCCACGUUUUGCCGCAGAAAUUGAUUUUCCCCAGAAAACUCUUCCCCUCCA